rnacentral:rRNA from 1 species
ACGGAGGGUGCAAGCGUUAAUCGGAAUUACUGGGCGUAAAGCGCGCGCAGGCGGUUUGUUAAGUCAAACGUGAAAUCCCCGGGCUCAACCUGGGAACUGCGUCUGAUACUGGCCGGCUUGAGUCGGGGAGAGGGGGGUGGAAUUCCAGGUGUAGCGGUGAAAUGCGUAGAGAUCUGGAGGAACACCGGUGGCGAAGGCGGCCCCCUGGACGGAGACUGACGCUCAGGUGCGAAAGCGUGGGGAGCAAACAG